GCGGGAAUAACUCAGUGGUAGAGUACUAGCUUCCCAAGCUGGGAGUCGCGGGUUCAAAUCCCGUUUCCCGCU
rfam:Spirochaetes bacterium GWF1_49_6 gwf1_scaffold_4212, whole genome shotgun sequence.